UUCCAUCGUCAUCUCUCUCUUGUUUGGAUCCUUAGCCUUAGGCUUUGGUAACUUCCCUUUCCUUCCCUUAGGCGCUUCUCCCACCUCAACAGAUGCUUCCACUUGGUUAACCGGUUGGGGAGGUGGGGGAGGUGAUUCAACUUUGCUAACCGGCUGGGGAGGUGGUGGUGGCUGAACCGGUGAAGGAGGAGGAGAUGGGACACGUGGCAGCUCCAUAACUGGAGGAGGCAAUGUAGGUAAAGGCUUCAAAGAAUCAAGCUUUUUCGCUAUUGAAAUCUGUUC
rnacentral:lncRNA from 1 species